rnacentral:rRNA from 1 species
GUAACGGCGAGUGAAGCGGUAACAGCUCAAAUUUGAAAUCUGGCCUCACGGUCCGAGUUGUAAUUUGUAGAGGAUGCUUCGAGCAUGGUCUGGCCUAAGUUCCUUGGAACAGGACGUCAUAGAGGGUGAGAAUCCCGUAUGCGGCCAGGUGCCUACGCUCAUGUGAAGCUCCUUCGACGAGUCGAGUUGUUUGGGAAUGCAGCUCAAAAUGGGUGGUAAAUUUCAUCUAAAGCUAAAUAUUGGCCAGAGACCGAUAGCGCACAAGUAGAGUGAUCGAAAGAUGAAAAGCACUUUGGAAAGAGAGUUAAACAGUACGUGAAAUUGUUGAAAGGGAAGCGCUUGCAACCAGACUUGCGCGCGGCCGAUCAUCCGGUGUUCUCACCGGUGCACUCGGCCGUGCUCAGGCCAGCAUCGGUUUUGGCGGCUGGAUAAAGGCCCUAGGAAUGUGGCUCCUCUCGGGGAGUGUUAUAGCCUAGGGUGCAAUGCAGCCUGCUGGGACCGAGGACCGCGCUUCGGCUAGGAUGCUGGCGUAAUGGUUGUAAGCGGCCCGUCUUGAAACACGGACCAAGGAGUCUAACAUCUAUGCGAGUGUUUGGGUGUCAAACCCAUACGCGUAAUGAAAGUGAACGGAGGUGAGAACCCUUAAGGGUGCAUCAUCGACCGAUCCUGAUGUCUUCGGAAGGAUUUGAGUAAGAGCAUAGCUGUUGG